AGGUUCGAUUCUGGCUCAGGAUGAACGCUGGCGGCGUGCUUAACACAUGCAAGUCGAGGGGUAACAUGAUUGGAGCUUGCUCCGAUUGAUGACGACCGGCGCACGGGUGCGUAACGCGUAUCCAACCUUCCCCCUACCAGGGAAUAGCCCGUUGAAAGACGAAUUAAUGCCCUAUGUUGUGUGAUAAUGGCAUCAGAGUUACACGAAAGACUUUGUCGGUAUGGGAUAGGGAUGCGUACGAUUAGCUAGUCGGCGGGGUAACGGCCCACCGAGGCUACGAUCGUUAGGGUUCUGAGAGGAAGGUCCCCCACGCUGGUACUGAGACACGGACCAGACUCCUACGGGAGGCAGCAGUGAGGAAUAUUGGUCAAUGGUCGGAAGACUGAACCAGCCAAGUAGCGUGCAGGACGACUGCCCUAUGGGUUGUAAACUGCUUUUAUGCGGGGAUAAAGUGGGGAACGUGUUCCCUUUUGCAGGUACCGCAUGAAUAAGGACCGGCUAAUUCCGUGCCAGCAGCCGC
rnacentral:rRNA from 1 species